AUAGCUUGUGGAUUUGGCGUUUCAGCAAAUGAGGAGACCUAAUUAAAGGUCUAAUCCUGUAGAACGUGAGUUACCCUCAGCUCCUAAAUCAAAAUGACUUAAGGGCUGCUCCUGUUAGCCUGGCACUGCAGAUUCAGCCGAAUCCUUCAUUCACGUGCUGGCGCAGUGUGUUACGUGAUUUUGCCGUGCACCUCCAACGGCUGCCGUGUCCAGCGAUGCUGCUGGAACAUCUGCAGGCUCAGAUGAAACUUGAUGCAGCUGAGAUCCUACAGUGGCUCUGGCAGGAACGGCUUAUUGGGCACGUCACUGAAAUCCCACGUUUCAGUUUCUCCACCUGUCAGGUGUUGGUGAAACACAGCGAGAUGAUUAACCUGCCGGGAUGCUCAUUUCUCGCACCCUGUGCCGUGCCUGGUCCUUCUGCGCUAGGUUCACCACUGAGUCAUCCGGGCAUCGCGGGUCUCGGGAACGAGCCGCGGUGGACGACAUCCAGGCUCGGCUGAACGUGGGAGGGCUGCGCCGAAACGCUGUUCGGCGUUUUUCCUGCCAAAACGCUUUUCCUGCCGGAUGCAGGGCUCGGCGGGGAGGCCGGAGGAGGCAGGUUGGGGCUUCACCGCUGCCGAGCCGGGCACGGCCGUGCCGCUGGCACGUUGCUUCAACACAGCUGGCACGAGGAAAGGCACAGCCCUCGGGGAACGGCAAAAUCACCACGGUGUCCCAGGGAUGAGCAAGGAGAGCCCGAUGGGGGGUGGUUGGAGGCUGUUACUUCAUCCCAUGAGAUUAGCGUGGCUGCGUUUCUGUUAGGCACUGUUUGAAAAUGCCAUGAGUGUUUCUCGCCCAGAUGAUUGAGGCGAGGCUGAUCUGAGUUUGGGGCAGAACGGGUAGAGCCGAUUGCCAUCUUCUGUGGCUCUCUGGCCCUUUUCGCCUGCGGUAUGACCCGCUUCCAAGAAUCAAGUGGAAACUGUAAUUCAGCACGUUUCCUGCUUUCACAGAAACCUCGGGCAUCGGCGAGCUGGUAACUUCUGCCCCCUUUCCGAGGGGGAUCUGCGGAUUUUGCAGCUGAUGUACUAAAAUUCUCCAAGUCUGUGA